UUGUCUCAAAGAUUAAGCCAUGCAUGUCUCAGUACAAGCCGAAUUAAGGUGAAACCGCGAAAGGCUCAUUAAAUCAGUUAUGGUUCCUUAGAUCGUACACACAUUUACUUGGAUAACUGUGGUAAUUCUAGAGCUAAUACAUGCAAACAGAGCUCCGACCGGAGACGGAAGGAGCGCUUUUAUUAGAUCAAAACCAAUCGGUGGCGAUUUCCGUCGUCAUCGUACAACUUGGUGACUCUGAAUAACUUUACGCUGAUCGCACGGUCUCGCACCGGCGACGCAUCUUUCAAAUGUCUGCCUUAUCAACUGUCGAUGGUAGGUUCUGCGCCUACCAUGGUUGUAACGGGUAACGGGGAAUCAGGGUUCGAUUCCGGAGAGGGAGCCUGAGAAACGGCUACCACAUCCAAGGAAGGCAGCAGGCGCGCAAAUUACCCACUCCCGGCACGGGGAGGUAGUGACGAAAAAUAACGAUACGGGACUCAUCCGAGGCCCCGUAAUCGGAAUGAGUACACUCUAAACCCUUUAACGAGGAUCAAUUGGAGGGCAAGUCUGGUGCCAGCAGCCGCGGUAAUUCCAGCUCCAAUAGCGUAUAUUAAAGUUGUUGCGGUUAAAAAGCUCGUAGUCGAAUCUGUGUCCCGCGCCGCCGGUUCAUCGUUCGCGGUGUUAACUGGCGUGCCGCGGGACGUCCUGCCGGUGGGCUUAGCUCGUGAGGGCGGCCCAACUCAAUCCCGCCGCGGUGCUCUUCAUUGAGUGUCGAGGUGGGCCGGCACGUUUACUUUGAACAAAUUAGAGUGCUUAAAGCAGGCUAAAACUUCGCCUGAAUACUGUGUGCAUGGAAUAAUGGAAUAGGACCUCGGUUCUAUUUUGUUGGUUUUCUGAACCCCGAGGUAAUGAUUAAUAGGAACGGAUGGGGGCAUUCGUAUUGCGACGUUAGAGGUGAAAUUCUUGGAUCGUCGCAAGACGGACAGAAGCGAAAGCAUUUGCCAAAAACGCUUUCAUUGAUCAAGAACGAAAGUUAGAGGUUCGAAGGCGAUCAGAUACCGCCCUAGUUCUAACCAUAAACGAUGCCAGCUAGCGAUCCGCCGACGUUCCUCCGAUGACUCGGCGGGCAGCUUCCGGGAAACCAAAGCUUUUGGGUUCCGGGGGAAGUAUGGUUGCAAAGCUGAAACUUAAAGGAAUUGACGGAAGGGCACCACCAGGAGUGGAGCCUGCGGCUUAAUU
rnacentral:rRNA from 1 species